UACGGAGGGUGCGAGCGUUGUCCGGAAUCAUUGGGCGUAAAGGGCGCGUAGGUGGCCCGGUCAGUCAGUGGUGAAAGCGCGGGGCUCAACUCCGCGUCGGCCAUUGAUACUGCGGGGCUGGAGCACUGUAGAGGCAGGCGGAAUUCCGGGUGUAGCGGUGGAAUGCGUAGAGAUCCGGAAGAACACCGGUGGCGAAGGCGGCCUGCUGGGCAGUUGCUGACACUGAGGCGCGACAGCGUGGGGAGCAAACCGG
rnacentral:rRNA from 1 species